UUUGCCAAAGCGUUAAGAAAAUGUCUUUAAAAGACUGUAGCCUUUUUAAUUGGCUGCGCGAUAAAAGAGCUGACAUACUGGACUUUGGUGACUGAACUGAGACAUCUACUUGAACCACGUGGUUUUUGCAUCGUACUUGAAACUUGUAGCUAAUGACAAUGUAAUUCAAUAAAUAUGCGAGUUGCGCGUGGAAUUUACUUGGAUUCUUAUACGUGGAUAACCUACAAGUUAAAGUAAGUGGUCUUUAAAUUGUACAUCUGAUCGUUUUUUUUUAUUCUAUGAUGAUAUCUUCAUACCAACUCAGAAUAAUUAUGUUGAUAUUGACACGCCAUGCACUACCAUCUGAUUAAAAUA